rnacentral:rRNA from 1 species
GACGUAGGGCGCGAGCGUUGUCCGGAUUUAUUGGGCGUAAAGAGCUCGUAGGCGGCUUGUCGCGUCGAAUGUGAAAUCUCAGGGCUCAACUCUGACAUUGCAUUCGAUACGGGCAGGCUAGAGUUCGGUAGGGGAGACUGGAAUUCCUGGUGUAGCGGUGAAAUGCGCAGAUAUCAGGAGGAACACCGGUGGCGAAGGCGGCAUCCUGGACCGACAUUGACGCUGAACGGCGAAAGCUAGGGGAGCAAACGGG